UGACAAGCAACACUGAGACUUACAGGCAACACUUCCUGAGUGUGAAUGAUGAAAUGUCUUAGUGUAGAGGGGAACUCUGCCUGAAAAAGGGGAAGAUAAAAAGGAUGUCAUAAUACCUCGACAUUCUGGUCACUGCUCCAGCCUCUGAUUGCCUGCGCAGAAAUGUGAGAUUUUCUCCUGUGAAUGUUUUUAUAAAUACAUUUUUCACACCAAUUUCGUUUUCAGCCAAUGGGGAACACCCUAACCAGUAUCGAUAUCGAAAGAAUCGGUCAUUACUCCGAGAAAUCAACAACUAAAAAGAAGCAUUUGUGUGCGUGAAAAGAAUCUAUCAAGACGGUCAUCAAAAUUGCAGAAGAGUCCAUCAAGGAAGUCAUAAGGAUUCCAUAAGAGUUCAUAAGGGAGUGUCAUCCGCAAAGGAUUCGUGUAAGAUUCCAGAAUGAAUGGAUCCAGCUCAUUGAACUUUACUACUGAUUAUGUGGACAUCUUUGAAGAAACAGUUGCAUGGAUCAUAUUAUCAAUUGGCCUUCCUGCAAUCAGCCUGGCCUGUUAUGCACUGUACCGCUUGAUCAAGGCUGAUCAUGUCGCCCCCCUAUAUGUCAUCAACCUCCUCCUUUCAGAUCUGGUGCAAAUCAUCUGCAGAAUAUACUUUGUUUCUCAGAAGCAUUUUGGAUUCCUCUCUCCAGAACUUAUCAAAGCUCGAUUGAUUUUUCUGGUCAUUGUCCGUUUUGGCUUAGUUGCUAGUCUUGGCUUCAUGGUGUGCAUCUCCCUGGAGAGGUACCUGGUGGUUGCUCAUCCACUUUGGUAUCGGUACCGUCGCAACCUGAAGUACACAGUGUUAACGUGUAUUUUCAUAUGGUUGUUUUCUGUGAUAUAUGCAGUGAUUGAGUAUAACAUAGAAGUCUACAGAACCUUCUUAAGUCUUCUAGCAACCCUAUUCCUGCUGCCAUUUCCUUUUCUUCUCUUCUUCUAUGUGAGCUCAAGGAGAGCCUUGAAAAGCACUAUUUCAGUUUCUGUUGCAGAAAAGAAUCGGAUCCUUGGUGCUUUAGCCCUGGUCUUUGGCAUCUAUGUUGUGCUAUAUCUGCCCUUUACGUUCAUGGCAUUUUUUCUGGUAAUAUCUAACAUACGCACUUACACAGUGUAUUGCUUUAUGGCUGUUGCACGCUCCAUGGUGCGUCUCAGUCCCCUUGUGGACCCCUUCCUGUACAUUUUCAUGAGAAAGGGAGCCAGAGACACACUGGAGGCCUUCCCCUGCUUCAGGAGGGUAUUUGGAUGGAGCACAACUAGAUCUGAUGCAGAAACUACAUAGUAAGCAAAUGUAUUCAUACAUGUAUCAGCAAAUUGAGAUGCCCUAUUGUUGAAUCUGAAUUUUACAUUUACCUUUUAUCUUGUCUAGUUUAUAAUACUUUAUUGCUUUAAAAACAUUCUCUUGUAAUAUUUUACCCUUGUAAUCUAUACUUUUCCCACACUCACCAACUUCUACAAUUUCUAGACAUACUGGAUGGAUCAGCUGGAAAUGUUAAAGCUAAUAAAUGUGCUUUUACCUGAAUGACAA